rnacentral:misc_RNA from 1 species
AGAGAAUCUAUGGUUCUGAGUUUCAACCCGUGCAUGUUCCACAAGUGUUCGUGCAUCAGCUAUCAAUCCACUCAUUGCACAGCCAAUAUGCUCGUCGAUUUCCAUAAUUUUCUCCACACUGCUUGGCUCCAGAAGUGGUGAAGUAAUGCGCUUCUCCACAGCAAGAACAACUCCUUCCUUAGUCUUCAAUCCAAUUGCAGUUGAACCCAACUUGAUAGCUUCAAUAGCAUAUUCAACUUGAAACAAUCGUCCUUCAGGCGAGAAAGUGUUAACACCUCUAUCAUACUCAGUUCUUGUAAGAAACAUCUUUGUUGAAAUUUUGCUACAGAUCCAAAAACCCUUUGUUCAGAUUUUGUUUGAACUGAAGAUUAUUCCUUCUUCUUCUU